rnacentral:rRNA from 1 species
GACGUAGGGCGCGAGCGUUGUCCGGAUUUAUUGGGCGUAAAGAGCUCGUAGGCGGCUUGUUGCGUCGACUGUGAAAACCCGCGGCUUAACCGCGGGCCUGCAGUUGAUACGGGCAGGCUAGAGUUCGGUAGGGGAGACUGGAAUUCCUGGUGUAGCGGUGAAAUGCGCAGAUAUCAGGAGGAACGCCGGUGGCGAAGGCGGGUCUCUGGGCCGAUACUGACGCUGAGGAGCGAAAGCGUGGGGAGCGAACAGG